UACGGGGGGGGCAAGCGUUGUUCGGAAUUACUGGGCGUAAAGGGCUCGUAGGCGGCCAACUAAGUCAAACGUGAAAUCCCUCGGCUUAACCGGGGAACUGCGCUUGAUACUGGAUGGCUUGAGAUUGGGAGAGGGAUGCGGAAUUCCAGGUGUAGCGGUGAAAUGCGUAGAUAUCUGGAGGAACACCGGUGGCGAAGGCGGCAUCCUGGACCAACACUGAUGCUGAGGAGCGAAAGCCAGGGGAGCAAACGGG
rnacentral:rRNA from 1 species